AAUAAUCCAUGUCCAAAGCAAUCCAAACAUUACAUUUCAUUCAAUUUACAACUGCAAGCUCAAAGUUCAUGUUCCAAAUACAUAACUAUUUUAAAUUAUAUACUUCAAGGCAUUUUCCAUACAUCAAUUAUGCCAUUUCCAACAACGUACAAAUUUUCGACUCGAGCAUUUCUCAUUGAGCCAUUCAAACUUCAAAAUAACCAUACAUAUUCAAGUUUACCUUGCCAUGUACUCAAAUUACAACACAUAAACGCAUUCAUUUAACAAGUUCCAAAACAUAUUACAAUAUUCAAACAUAGCUAUAUCUACCAAGAUCAAUCCGGAACAUCCAACGCGGUCUCGUCUCCUUCCAAUGCACAUCUUCCCAUGGCUCAUUCCAAUGCACUCCAGGACAACCUACAACCUGUUGCAAAAAGCUGUUCUUUAGAAAUUUUGCAAAAAAGCUGUUAUGUGAAAAAUUUGGAAAAGUUGUUGUGUCAACUUGGAGCUUACACUGUUCAGUCUAUCCAUUUUGUUCGUGAUGGAAUAGAUCAGGCCCAUAGCAGAUCUGCCCACAACAAUGUCAUUACAAUUCGUAACCAAUCAUAACAACAACAGGGUAUAACAGAACCAAGAAAAUUCAGGGGAGUUAGA
rnacentral:lncRNA from 1 species